UUCUGCAGAGUCAGGGAAGGCUUCACAAUACAGGUGGCCCCUGAGCAGCUAUGAAGAUUGGGCAGGGCUCUGCCAGAGAAUGAUAGAGGGCUUCAGGAUUCAAAACUUUGAUGAUGGAACAGAUCUGUGAAUGGAGGUGUCAAUGGAUUAACAUGUGUAUUCCCAGAGCCUAUGCAGCCCUUGACUUGGAUGACCAAGUGAAUGAAUAAUAAAUCUGAAGUCCAAGUUAAGCAAAUGCAAAGCCUGGAAGUGUGUGGGAGGCUGCCUGGGGUCCAAAGCUGACAGGAGCAAGCAAACAAGGACAUUGAUUGCCUGCCACAUGCAAGAUUGGGUCCAGGUGCUGAAGAAACACAGAUGUGCUGCAUCCUUGACUUUAAGGAGCAUCCCUGGGUUGGAGGGAUUCUCUGCAGGCUGCUGUGGUGGAGGGAAGAUUUGCCCAACUUACUCUUGGCGCUGGACCCCCUGAGCCAUCUUCACACACCCAGGUGAACUUUGGGAAGGUAACAGCUUUUCAGUUGCAAACCCAAGUGAAUUAGAGCAAAACAGAUCCCACGUGCUUGACACAUGGAAACUUUCAGAGCCAAUGGUUUAUAAACUUACCAAGAGCUGGGGGAGUAAACACAUCCCAGGGAACUGUGGAGCACUUCUCUGGCAUUGAUACACAUAAGCAGAAAGCACAGCCUUCCCCGACACUUGCCUUAAGAUAGUCUUUUGUCUUAGAACCCAGAGGCUUACCUGAGCUAAACCACAUAAAGUGCUUAGUGCGAUGCCUUGAACAUACCAAGCUCUUAAUAAACGCUAAGGUCACUAUUAGCAUUGCUUGUCAUGGAAUAAACCUAGGAUACAUCUAUAAAACUGUCCAUAAUCUUCCUUGCCUUGUGGAAAGUUGUUCCACUAUUCCAACAUCCUUUUAGGGGUUCUCAGCUAAUCUACCUUUCAAAACGAAAAUUUAUUAUACACUUCUUAAGUGCUAGGUAGUUUUGUAUAUUUAUGUGUAUUAUCUCAUUAAAUGAUCUCUCAGCCCUCUGAGAAAAGCACUAUUAUCAUCCAUAUUUCACAGAUGAAGAAAUCGUCAGAGUUUCCAUAUAUCAUUGUCAGAGAUGUUAAGCAACUUGCUUAAGGUUACACAGCCUUAGCAGAAGUACUUGUUUGACUCCAAAGCCUACCAUUAUGCUGGAAUCACUAGAAUCCAGGUGGCCUAUCUGAACCCGGAUUCAGGCAUCUGAAGCUGAAUAGCUGCCAUUCUUGCUUUUAACCUCCUGGUAAAAGCAGGCUAUGCCUGAUCUAUCUAUCUAUCUAUCUAUCUAUCUAUCUAUCUAUCUAUCUAUCUAUCAAUCAUCUAUCUAUCUGUCUAUCUAUCUAUCUAUCAUGGCCUGGCUAUGCCACAUCUAUAUUCCAUGAUGUCCACUGACCAGAGGGUUUCCCUUAUCCAAUCCAUACAUGUGCCAAUAAACAAACAUUUAGUGAGCACCAACAUAGUUGCUUCUCUCCUAUAAUCAACACAGGAAUGGUUAAGUUUGGAAUAAAUUACUUUUCCUAACACUUGCAUAGGACUGGACUGUUUGCUUUCAAAUACUUGGUUUUGCUUCAUGCUCACAACUCUGGGAUAUAGGAAUGAUUAUUUUCAUUUCACAGCUGCAAGAACC
rnacentral:lncRNA from 1 species